rnacentral:rRNA from 1 species
UGGCGGACGGGUGAGUAACGCGUGGAAAACCUGCCGUAUACUGGGGGAUAACACUUAGAAAUAGGUGCUAAUACCGCAUAAGCGCACAGCUUCGCAUGAAGCGGUGUGAAAAACUCUGGUGGUAUACGAUGGUUCCGCGUCUGAUUAGCUAGUUGGUGGGGUAAUGGCCUACCUAAGGCAACGAUCAGUAGCCGGCCUGAGAGGGUGAACGGCCACAUUGGGACUGAGACACGGCCCAAACUCCUACGGGAGGCAGCAG